UACGUAGGUGGCGAGCGUUAUCCGGAUUUACUGGGCGUAAAGAGCGCGCAGGCGGUCGUUCAAGUCGCGUGUGAAAGCCCCCGGCUCAACUGGGGAGGGUCACGCGAUACUGAUCGACUCGAAGGCAGGAGAGGGAAGUGGAAUUCCCGGUGUAGUGGUGAAAUGCGUAGAUAUCGGGAGGAACACCAGUGGCGAAGGCGACUUCCUGGCCUGUUCUUGACGCUGAGGCGCGAAAAGCUAGGGGAGCAAACGGG
rnacentral:rRNA from 1 species